GACGAACGCUGGCGGCGUGCCUAAUACAUGCAAGUUGAGCGCUGAAGGUUGGUACUUGUACCAACUGGAUGAGCAGCGAACGGGUGAGUAACGCGUGGGGAAUCUGCCUUUGAGCGGGGGACAACAUUUGGAAACGCAUGCUAAUACCGCAUAAAAACUUUAAACACAAGUUUUAAGUUUGAAAGAUGCAAUUGCAUCACUCAAAGAUGAUCCCGCGUUGUAUUAGCUAGUUGGUGAGGUAAAGGCUCACCAAGGCGAUGAUACAUAGCCGACCUGAGAGGGUGAUCGGCCACAUUGGGACUGAGACACGGCCCAAACUCCUACGGGAGGCAGCAGUAGGGAAUCCUCGGCAAUGGACGAAAGUCUGACCGAGCAACGCCGCGUGAGUGAAGAAGGGUUUCGGAUCGUAAAACUCUGUUGGUAGAGAAGAACGUUGGUGAGAGUGGAAAGCUCAUCAAGUGACGGUAACUACCCAGAAAGGGACGGCUAACUACGUG
rnacentral:rRNA from 1 species